rnacentral:rRNA from 1 species
AGUUCGGAUUGCAGGCUGCAACCCGCCUGCAUGAAGUCGGAAUCGCUAGUAAUCGCGAGUCAGCAUAUCGCGGUGAAUACGUUCCCGGGUCUUGUACACACCGCCCGUCACACCAUGGGAGUUGGCAACACCCGAAGUCGAUGAGCUAACCUUUUAGGAGGCAGUCGCCUAAGGUGGGGUUGAUAACUGGGGUGAAGUCGUAACAAGGUAGC